rnacentral:lncRNA from 1 species
ACCUCAUUAACAGAACAGAUUCUAUCAUUUGAAGUGAGUUCAGUUGGUUCUGCAACAACACGUCCAACAGAAAAUGCAGGUUCUGCUGGUCGAGGAAGUGUUAUGGUCUCGCUUUCCAACAUGACAAUCACAGAUGUCAUUCUAGGUCUAUCUGCCGGAUCUUCUUGCACGCAUAAUAGCCCAAUAUGGAUGCAUUUAAGCACCCCAGCGGCAACACACGACUGCACCAAGAGCUGAUCUAUUAGCUCCAUUCCUUGACCUUUAGACCAUAGUUUCCAUGCCUACAAUUUUUACUUAAAAUCAGCAUAUAUGGCGGAUUCUUAUAAUCUUUGAAGACAAAGAGAGGAUAAAAACGUACAAAAGUUAGGAGGCUUUCACCAUGCUCUGAUAGAUGAAAACCAUUAUUCCUUUUUCCACUUAUAAUUUCUAGCAAAAGGACUCCAAAACUGAAAACAUCAGAUUUGAUAGAAAAAAGUCCUUCCAUAGCAUAUUCAGGUGCCAUGUAUCCACUAUUUCAAUUCAUAAGAUGCAAUUAUAAAAAGAUAAAAAAUAGAGUUAGAUUUGAUCCAUAAAAAAUUUUAGAAACAGAGAAUCAAUAUUGAAUAUGAGCAUUCAACAUUGUACUAUGUUGAAUCAAUAUUAAUUAGAUGCAUCAGUGAUGAAUUGUUUGUGGCUUGGUUGUUAUCAAGAGAUAUGAUAUGUCAAAAAUGAAUAAAAAAAACAAUUGUAAAAUAUACUAACAUCAUUAACUUUUAAUCAUAAUUAUAUACGGAUCCACUAGUUUUCAAAGUGGACAUUCUACUCAAAAAAUAUUUUCGCUGACACAUAAGUCUUACCAUUAGUCAAAAGCCAAUAUUUCUGUUAGUUUGAUAAUAUAAUAAUAUUUUUAAGAUAAUUUUUCUCUUUAUUAAUUUUAAAAAUUACUACUAUAUAAAUUAUAAUUUUUUAUUUUUAAAUUUUUUCCUUUUUUUCAAAAAAAAAAAUCUUUCUGGCCACCCACGCCAAUAGCACUCCCCAAGGAAGCACUGGGAGCCCAGGGCGAUGGGUGGCCGACCAGUGUAAGGGAACACCGUUGGUCGGCUUGAAAGAAAGGAAGAGGUGGGAAAAAAAAAGAUAUUUUAGACAUUUCAUGUUUAAGCAUUAAUGUUGUUUAUACGUUUGGAGUGUGGUGUCCAUUUCGAAAAUUAGUGGACUUGUGUGUAAUUAUGGUUAAAAGUUGAACGUGUUGGUGUAUUUUACCCAAAAAACAAUGUCAUAGUACAAAAACUAUAUAAUCCCGUAAGCUUAAGUGUCAUUGAGUUUAACAGAAUGCGUAGACUUACUAUGUUCCAACUACUCUAUUUGUGUUUGCUUGAUUUUGAUUUCCAUCAAAAAUUCUUGCCAUACAAAAAUCCGAAAUUUUGGGAUUCAUCUCAUGAUCGAGUAAAACAUUACUUACUUUAAGAUCUCUGUGAAUAAUUUUAAAACGAGAAUCUUCAUACAAAUACAUAAUACCUCGAGCAAUUUCUUUUAUAAUGUUGAAUCGUUUUAGCCAAGACAGUUGUGCAGCCAUGCUUGAAUCUGACAAAGGCCCCAAAAGGGAAUAAAUGAAAAACAGCAAAACCAAUGACUAGUUAACUUUUUCAUUACAAGGUAGUGUUGUUAGUUAAAAGUUCAAGGUUGAAGGAUCAAACCAAACAGGAAAACGUCAAGGCUUCUGUUGGGCAUGAAUUCAUACACCAGCAACUGUUCGUUUUUCUCUAAGCAACAUCCUAAGAGCCUCACAAGAUUUUUAUGCUGUAAUCUGGCAAUUAACAUGACUUCAUUCUUGAACUCAAGCAGCCCUUGACCGGAAGUUCUUGAGAGCCUUUUAACUGCAAUUUCUUUACCAUCUGCCAGUGUACCCUGGAACAAUUUAUUAAUUUAUGUAACAUACCCAUAAUUGCAGGUUGACGCCAUUGAAUGCAGAAGACAUGGAAUUUUAUACCCAUAAUUGGGUGGAUAAGUCAAGGACGCGUAAUGCCUGCGGGAGAGGGACAGAGUCCAUUUUAUUGGAAUUUAUGCCCAUUUUGGUUCAAUUUUAAACUCAAGCCAGGAUAGGAGGCCCAGCGGAGGCAGGGAGAUUAGUUCAUGACGGAUCAGUCCUUGGGUUUAGGGUAAACAGGUGAAGAAGAAGAUAGAGAGAAACACAAGCACAAGGCAUCAGUCAUGAUCAGGUUUUGUUUCCGUAGGCUUGGAAUGGUAAAUAUCCAGACAAGAUUGUAUUAUUUUUCUGCUCCUCCUAAUAGUUAAUAGUAGGGACAAUGAUAUUGUCUUCUGUUGCACCGUGUUGUUAUCUUUCUUUUCAUUCGAGAACUGAGAUAUUAUGAUUACAACUGUUUAAAGUCAAGCAAAAAAGUCUGGCCACUCUUUUGCGAAAAAGUGGUUGAGAUCUUGACAGUUGAGAAUAUCUGCUUCUUUUCUUUAAUUUCUUUUCUUUUUCGUGGAAAAGAUUGAUUGGUCUGAGUAGCGAUCGGGGCAAAUAUUCCAAAUCAAGCAAAUAAAAAUAAAGUGUUGAGAAAGCGAUCGUUUCUAUUUAUAAAAAUAACCAAAUAUAAUAACUAAAUAUCUUUUGUAAUAUUUUAUUAAUUAUAUAAUAAUAUUUAAUAUCUUUUUUAUAAAAAAAUUUUGAUUUUAUUUGUAAUAUUUUAUUAAUUAUGUAAUAAUAUUUAAUAUUUUUUUUAUAAAAAAACCUUGAUUCUAUGUGGCUUAUAAAUAUCAAGUUAUUACAAACAAUUUUCUUCAUUCAUAUUUAAAUUUCAGAACAAAGUCAAUUUUUUUACGAAUCUUUUUAAGUAAGUAAAUUUUUCUUUCUCUUGUAAUUCCUUAUUUUAUUUUUAUUUUUUUAAAAAAUAAAUUUUUCUUAUUUGUUGCUUCCUGCAUGAAUUUUUUUUUUCAUAUUACCAAGUUAAAAUAUGAAAUAAGAAACUUUUCAUGUAUGGGAUGAAUUUUUUUUUAUUGAAAGAAUUUAAUGUAUAUAUAUUCAAGUAGAUAAAAAAAAAUUGUUUGAUUUUUGGAGCUUACAGCUUGGAGUCAUAUGCUCCUUGUGUCAAUUUUUUUUUUUAAAAUUUCAUGUCAGCUGGAGUAAGACGAACACUAGAGUAUAGAAACAAACUAAUAAACAAACUAAUAAAAGCUAGCAAGGCUGCACGUCUCUCUACUUUUUUUUUUAAUAUAAUUUGACUUUGACUUGUGCUAGUGUCUUUUGUUUUGGUGCAGUUUUUUUUUUUUUUUUCUCAAGCUUUUCUUUGAUUUGUUGGCAGCAAAAAAGCUGCAAGUUAUAAUUUUUUUAUAUAUAUAUAAAAAAGAGUUUUUUUAACAUUGAAAGGCACAAAGCUGUAGUUUUUUUUUUAAUAAUAUAUAUAUAUAUAUAUAUAUAUAUAUNNNNNNNNNNNNNNNNNNNNNNNNNNNNNNNNNNNNNNNNNNNNNNNNNNNNNNNNNNNNNNNNNNNNNNNNNNNNNNNNNNNNNNNNNNNNNNNNNNNNNNNNNNNNNNNNNNNNNNNNNNNNNNNNNNNGCAGUCCUUUUUUUUUUUUUUUUUGUUAUAAUUUAUAAUUUUAUUUUAAUAUAUAGUUUUUGAUAGAAAAAAUAUUAGAAUAAAAGAAAUGAGUAAACGUUGAAGUGAAAGAAGUAAAUAAAAGUUAGUGCAUGUCAGCUUUUGAUAAAAGGACAAAAACUAAAACAACUAGUAAGUAAAUGAACAAAAAGGUAGCACAUGUCAAACCUUCGUUUCUCCCCUUAUUUAUUAGCAGCACAAGCUACGUUUCUUGUCUCUUUUUUUUUUUAAUGUAUAUGACUUGACUUUUUGUAGUGUUUUUGAUUUUAGUGCUACUUUAAAACUUGCGGCACAAACUCAAAUAUAAAAGAGAACUUUGGAAACAGUGCUUUUGUUUUAACCUUAAGGAACGCCAUAGCUUUUAUUUUACUUGGUUUUGGUACUAAAGCUUUUGGCUUGUGGGGCACCUUUGUUUUGGAGCUUUCUUUUGACCUCGUGACUUGCCGCGAGCUAUUUCUAUUGGAGCUCGCGGCAUAUACCGCUAGUUAUUUUUUUUAAAGCUCACAGUUAUGUCGCGAGUUAUUAUUAUUAUUAUUUUAUUAUUUUUAUUUAAAGUUAUAGAUUUUUUUAAAAUUUUAUUUAUUUAUUAUAUAUAUUUAUAUUGCAUAUAUAAAAAUAAUAAUAUCAAAAUUUAUAAUUUUGAUAAGUUUUAUUAUUUUACUUUGUGAUUGUAAUUUUUUUCAUGCAUAAUAAAUAAGUAAAAAUAAAAAAUUAUUACGUAUGUAUACUUAUCUUUUUUUUCAUAAUCAUGUUUGUAGGUAGCUUUUUCCAUCAUCCUCUAUGCCUAAGACGUGUGUCCCUCUCAAGAUCAAUUAUGGUGAGCUUGGAAGGGCUGCAACAAGGAAGAAAACCACUGCACAUAAAAAGAAGAAUACUAAUUUUAAAUUAGUUGCUCUUAAGAAAAUUAGAGUAGGAAAGAGUGGUGAAGUUCCUCCUGUUCCUGAAAAUUGGGAAGAUGAAAUUAUUAGAGAAAAAGGAGAAGAUCGUUUUUGGGAAGAGGUUCGUGCCAGACAAGUUGAUGAACAUCCCUCUGAGCCCAUUGGAUAUGAUUGGAAUCGUCUAUGCUCAGAAGCGCCUCCGCAUAAAAGAAGUGGUAUUCCAAGACUAUCUAUUUUAAAGUUCAGAUUUGAACGUGGUGAGUUUCCCAUUUUUGCUACCAAGCCAGGCUCUAAUUCUCAAUUUGUUCAUGGUUGGAAUGAGUGGGUAAAUAACGUGUUGAAGAAUCCUUCUUAUGUUAAACUUCUCUCUUCUGCUGGGAUACUUGAUGCUAUACGUAUCACUUCCAAGCUCAAUAUUCGUAGAGAAAAAAGGAUAGAUGUGUGGCGUGCUAUUUUUGCGAGGUGGAGCACGUUUUCUCAUACUAUGACUACUGCAUGGGGAGAAUUUACCUUCACUCUGGAAGAUGUAUGUGUUCUUUUGGAACUUCCUUGCAUAGGAAAUGAUGAUUUUCACUCUAUUAAGCUUUCUGAAGAAGAGGUAUGUACUCGAGACUUUUUCUUCGAUCUACUUAAGAGUCUGAGUAAAACUUCGAAGGUUGCAUGAUUCUCCAAUUGGAUAGGGAUUUUUUAUAAAAAGUUCAAUGCUAAGGGAAUUGAGAUUGGUUCUCCUGAGUACCCAGACCAUAAGCAUGAGUUGGUGGCUUUAGUAAUCUUUUGGUUGGCAGGACACAUACUCUCAAGGUGUCCAGAUGAUGGUAUCUCUCCAGCAUUUUUUCCUUUACCAAUAAAAAUUGUUAAGAGAAUGUGUUUUCCUCUUACUCCACUAUAUUUAGGAUCACUAUAUAAAAUAUUAGACUUGUUCCAACUCAAAACUGUUGAGUCAGCUGGGCGUUACAAAGUUUUGACUUAUGUGGAUCAUUCCUUCAUUCAGAUGUGCCUAUGGGAAAGGUUUGGUACUUGUGCUCCCGUGCCUAAUGCAUAUCCUUUUGCAUCCUUUUCUAUGAAUAACCCUUUAUCCAGGAAUAACUACAGAGCUUGGGCAUGGCAUGAUCGACUCCCGAGAGGUAAUGUUCUUGAAGUGAUGGAUGUGACAAAAGAAUUCAAUCCCGGACCUUAUGUGCAGCCCAUAAAUGGAUUUGGUGAUCUUGAAAUUUAUUAUGAUCGCCACCCUCUACAGUCUAGAAGAAUGAGUUCACAAGGUAUUAACUUUUGUGUAUGGGUUCACAGUUCCCAAUUACCAUUUAUGAUUGAGAGUUCCAAUUCAAGUGGAGAUAGAAAUAUUAUUUCUGUUGAGGUAUACUCUCUUUUUGGGUUUGACCAAUCAGUUCCGCCUAACUCUUCUUCAACUAUAAGUUUUUCUUCUUGUGUGUCUUCAUUCCUUAUGGCAGGACUUCAACUCCGUUUAGAUAAACUUAAGAGUUGUACUGUCUCAGCUUUUGAUAGAGUUGGUAUCCACACUUCUGGAUGGUUUGCUUAUUGGAUGGAGUGUAUUGAAGAAUGGGGAUCUUUUAUUAUGCCUUUGACUAAUCCUAGAGCUUGUCUCUACACUCCUUCUAUAAGUAACCCCAAUGUAUCCUUAUGCUUGAUUUCUCUCAAAAAGAAAAGAAAUGUAAAUGAAGAAGAAGAUAAUGCUCCUUAUGCUCUUACUCAUCAAACAAAACAUGUGCAUCGAAAAGUAAGUUUAUCCUUUACUUCUUCUUUUACUUUUUUUUUUUAAAUUCAUUUCCUCAUCAUACUUUUUUUUUUUUAGAGAGAAACAACUGCGAGAGUAGAACUUAACUCGAUUGAAGAGGAAGAGACUUUUUAAGCUGAGACCGAGGAAGAAUCAUGUGACUCUAAACGUAGUAAUGAAUCUGAUGAUGAAUCAAUUGAUGUUGAUAAAGUUGAAGUUGAGGGUGAGCCAACCCCUUUUGAUGAUUUCAUUGAUUUGGAUGCUUUAUUUCCAAAUCAUGUUCAGAACUCUACCAUGAACCAAGUAUAAACAUAUUACUAUGUUACUCCGGUUGAUGUUGUUUCAUUCCCUUUUUUUUUUGUUAAAUUAAGAUUGUUCUUGCUCCGCAGGCUAUUCGAGACGAGGUUGUUCUUGAUACUGAGACUAUUCUUGCUGUUGAAGUUGUUCUUGAGUCUACUCCAAAUGUUGAGGUUAUUCAUGAUGUUGGAGUUGAUACUGAUGAUGUUAGAGCUAUUCCAAUGACUCCUCAUGCUUCUUCCUCCCCAGUGCCAAAACACAGAGAUGCAAGUAGUGCUUCUGGCACUCAAGUAGCACAUACUGAACAAAGUGGUAAGAAAGUUGACUUCCAUGGCUUUCAAGUUUCAUUGGAGUAAGUGGCAUACUUGGAGCAUGUUUUCAAUAUAGAGGGAGAGUUUUGGAGUACCUCAUUUGUAAAGAACAUGGACAUCAUUUGCUUAAUGAUGGAAGUGUUGGGUAGAGCUUUAGCCAUUUCCCAUGCUCCACUAAUGAGUACUUCAGUAGAGGAAUUGCAACAGAUGUUACAGGAUUUCGAUGAUGCUUGUAACUUUGGAUUCAAGCUUCAGUGCCUCAGUGAUUGUAGAUCUAAAGCCAAGAUUUUUGUCAACAAGUUUUCCUUGAAGAAUGAGUUAGAAGACAUUGCAGUGAAGAUAGCUUUACUAAAAAAACGUGAAGCUGAAGUACAAAAACAAUUAGAUGUAUUUGUCAAUAAUAACUCUUCUCUAUGGAGUAUGUAAUUGACUAAUCUUUUGCUUUUCCUUUACUCUUUUUGAAAGCCCAUUUGAGCUAGUACUACGCUAUUGAUAUAUUAUAUAUUUUUUUCUUUUGCAAUAAUAAUAAUGCUAUACGCUUGUUGCGUAUUUAUUCACAUUUCAUAUUAUUGUAUAUGGCCAAAAGGGAACUCUCAACUUUACAUCAAGGAGAUUAACUCUAACUUGAUAUGAAGGAGAUUAAUUCAACCCUUAAAAUAAGUAAGCAUAAGAGUUUGCGACCAAUUUGUGAGUAAUAAACUAGGGUCAAGAAAUGAGCGAUAAAGCUUGCGGCCAAUAGCAUAACAUCAUUACAGCCAAAUUAUGAGUGAUAAAGCUAGCAGCUGAAAUAUGAAUAAUCAAUUAUGGUCAAAGAAUAAGCGAUAAAGCUUGCGACCAAUAGAAAAAUAUCAUUGCAGCCAAAAUAUGAGUGGUAAAGCUUGCGGCUGAAGUAAGAAUAAUGAACUACGGUCAAAGAAUGUGCGAUAAAGCUUGCGACCAAUAGUAUAAUAUAAUUACAACCAAAAUAUAAGCGAUAAAGCUAGUAGUUGAAUAUGAAUUUUUUUUAAACGUCAAAUUGUAAUUCAUAAAGCAAUGAAGAGUCAAGGUCAUAGAAAUAUCAUACAUGAGUAGGAAGCAGGUUGUUUGGACCUUAUUGUUCUCAAUCAAUAACUCUCCUACUUGCAUUUUUUUUUGGAAUAUUCCUUUCUGAAAAGAAUCUCUUCUUUCUCUACCUCUUCCGUAAAUUGCAUUCACUAUUAAAAUAUUCCUUCUAUCGAAGCUAGUAACUUCUUUUUGUCUGAAAACCGUAUUAUUGGUUCUUCGUUUUGCUUCCACCAAGGUAGCAAAAGUUGGAAGAGGUAAAUUCUGCUAGUGUAGCCUACACUCGUCAAACAUUUUUUGAAUGCAAGCCGUCACCAACUCCUUCUCAUCAUGAGACUCUUAUAUGUCCAACACCCUUUCUCUAAAGUGUUGGAUGUAUUCUAUGAGGUCUUCUCUGGACAUUUGAUAUUCUCUUCCCAAAUCAAGGAGAUUAACCUUCUCUUGAGUAAAGAAAAAGAACUUCUCCCUAUACAUUCGCAUCAAUUGCAUUUUCUCCAUUUCUUUCAUUCCCCCUAGUGUUUGUACCUACAGGUGCACUCUCAUAAAGGUGUACAGGUUGGGCUUAAAAAGUGGUGACAGUAAAGGAUGCGAGUUGAGAUAUAGUAUCCAGUGGAACUCUCCAUCUUUUUCAGUAACAAGAAAUUGUAGCGGUAAAAGUUUUACUUAAUUCAAUCACUUCUCCCCAGUGGAGUCCCCAAAAUGUAAAGGGCGUUUUUGUGAUAGGGAGAGAAAGCAUUGCAAAUAAGUAAAAGGAUGCGUCGAAGGCGGUAGAGAGGAAGAUUGGAACAGUUCUUGAAAUACUGAGUGUAGUGGCAGGUAGAAUAAAGUAAGAAGAGAAUUAAAGAGUAAAACAGAAUUAGAGAGAGAAGCUCUCAAGAUGAGAAUGUGUUAACUCAGAAGGGGAGAGAAGAGCCCCAUUAAAUGAAUUGUGAAGCCCUAUAUAUAGUGCUAAAAGUUACGGUUACUCAAGAAUAGGAUUUAAUGCGCCUAAUGAAUGACAUUAUUAUGAACAUUAAUAUGAGUAACCGUUACUGUAAUUGAAUGUAAUAAGAUUUGUUCUCAAGUAAAAGGUAAUAGAAAAUAGGUGUACAAGAAUAGGUAUAAGAGAAGAAGCCGUACGAGAAUAGGUACAAAAGAAGAAGCUAUACAUGAAUAGGUGUACAAAAACAAGGUAAGAGGGUGAAACACUUGUACUUUAGGAAAGGGUAAAAAGGAAGACCUCUUAACUACCUCCAUAUUUGAGCCACUAAGCCAAACUCUCCGAAACAUCCCAAGAUGAAAGUAACCCAUGAAUCCUGUCACUUAUUUUGAGUUACUUUCAUUGUUACCCAAGUGAAGUGGUUAUUCUAUUCGAAGUAGCUAUUCUACUUGUAUUAGUUGUUCCAUAUGGAGUAGUGCUUUACUUAUUCUAGUUGUUUUACUUUAAGUAGUACUGCACUUGUUCUAAUUGUUUUGCGUGAAGUAGUGCUUCACUUGUUCUAGUUAUUCUGCGUGAAGUAGCACUUCACUUGUUCAAGUUGUUCUUUGUACAAUAUUACGUUGUAACAUAAUUUUUUAGAGUAAUAGUAUUAACCAAAAUCAAGUAUCUACAAACAUCAGUGGAGUCUUAGGCAUUAAUAUGAAUAUACGCCUGAUAGAAUUUACACAUGAUCCAAGUCCAUUCUUAUUUCUUUAGUUGGCAACUCUUCCUAUACAAAUUUGUUGUACUGAUGAAAUUUUGCAAAAUUCAUGACUUUGGAUUCAGACUUUUUUGCAGGAAAUCUCACCAUCUCAGAUAGCAGAGUAAACUUCUUGGUCUCAACAAGCUGCUUGGAUACCCCAUGUAUGAAGAUAAAGAAUAGAUAAAAUGAAAUAACAUCUCCCAUUGUUUUGUUGAAAUAGUGUAGUAAUCAAUCACCCAUUGUUUCAUGUAUCAAAAAAAGAAAGAUGAAGAAAUAAAGGAAUAUAUAUGCACCCACGAAUCAAUCAUCGAGGCGACAAAUUUGAAAUUGUAACCUCAUUAAUAGAACGGUUUCUAUCAUUUGAAGUGGGCUCAGUUGGUUCUGCAACAACACGUCCAACAGAAAACGCAGGUUCUACUGGUCGAGGAAGUGUAAUGGUCUCGCUUCCUAACAUGACAACCACAGAUGACAUGCUGGGUCUGUCUGCUGGGUCUUCUUGCACGCAUAAUAGCCCAAUAUGGAUGCAUUUAAGCACCUCAGCAGCAACACACGACUGCACAAGGAGCUGAUCCAUUAGCUCCAUUCCUUGACCUUUAGACCAUAGUUUCCAUGCCUACAAUUGUUACGUAAAAUUAGCAUGGCAGAGAUUUAUCUAAUCUUUGAAGAGAAAGUGAGGAUAAAAACGUACGAAAGUCAAGAGGCUUUCACCACGCUCUGAAACAUGAAAACCGUUAUUCCUUUUUCCACUUAUGAUUUCCAGCAAAAGGACUCCAAAACUGAAAACAUCAGAUUUGAUAGAAAAGAGUCCUUCCAUUGCAUAUUCGGGUGCCAUGUAUCCACUAUUUUAGUUUAUAAGAAGUAACGAAAAAAAGAUAAAAGAUAGAAUUAGAUGAUCCAUUGAAAAUUUUAGAAACAGAGAAUCAAUAUUGAAUAUGAACAUUCAACAUUGUACUAUUAUGAAUCAAUUAGAUGCCUCAGCGUUCAAUUGUUUGCGGCUUGGUUGUAAUCAAGAGGGCUGAUAUGUCAAAAAUGCAUAAUAAAAAAAAAAAUUGUCAAACUACAAAAGGUAUAUAACCCCAUAAGCUUAAGAGGCAAUGAGUUGGGAAGAAUAUGUAGACUUACUAUGUUCCAACUACUCUAUUCGUAUUUACUUGAUUUUGAUCUCCACCAAAAAUUCUUGCCAUACCAAAGUCUGAAAUUUUGGGAUUCAUCUCAUGAUCAAGUAAAACAUUACUCGCUUUAAGAUCUCUGUGGAUAAUUCUAAGACGAGAAUCCUCGUGCAGAUACAUGACACCUCGAGAGAUUCCUUUAAUAAUGCUGAAUCGUUUUGGCCAGGAAAGUUCCACAGCCAUGCUCGAAUCUGAUAACGGGCCACAAAAAAGCAGGGGGGGACCAAUUAACUUUUUCACCCUUAUUUCAUUUACAAAGUAGUGUGGUUAGUUAAAGGUUGAAGGAUCAAACCAAACAGGAAAACAUCAAGGCUUCUGUUGGGCAUGAAUUCGUACACCAGCAACUUUUCGUUUUUCUCCAAGCAACAUCCUAAGAGCCUCACCAGAUUUCUAUGCUGUAAUUUGGCAAUUAACAUGACUUCAUUCUUGAACUCAAGCAGCCCUUGACCGGAAGUUCUUGAGAGCCUUUUAACUGCAAUUGCUUUACCAUCUGCUAGUGUACCCUGAAAGAAUUUAUUAAUUUAUGUAAAAUAUCACAUGUCGACUGCAAAAUGUCUCAUGACUCUGAAAUAUUAACAUACUUUGUUUCACUCAUAUCAAUCUCUAAUCAUGCAUUAACUCAUAUAAAAAUUCCUAACCAUAAUUACCUUGUAUACAGGGCCAAAUCCACCUUCUCCAAGCUUAUUUUCAUUACAAAAGUAAUUUGUUGCAACGUGUAAAAUAUCCAAUUGAAUCGAAGGAAAUUCUUGAGAUCUCGACACAUUUUCUCUGUUAAAAUUUUCGCUUGAGUGCUCAUCGAGUAUACUUCCUUGUACCAAGUCAAGUAAUUGAACUUCUUGACUAUUUUCGUUAUCCUCUGUAAUAAAAUAAAAUGUGAUUCGCAUAACAAUAUAACAUAAAUUUGUAAUGCCAAGCCAAGGUUAAUCCAAUGCCUACCUUGAAUGUUUCUCCUCCUCCAUAUGAAGAAACCACAUGCAGAAAAGAGAGCCAGCCCAAGAGUCGCUGAUAAACUCGCACCAAGCGGAAUCCGGACUGAUUUUUUUUGUUUAUCUUCUUCUGAUUAAGGGAACAUAUUCUCAAUUGAGCUUAUUGUUAUCCAUCAAUCAUAAGCACCCCUUAAGAGAGUCUUUCUUUACAAGACGACAGUGAUAAAGAAUGUGCACUUUUGUGUUUGCAAAAAAUCACAAAGUGCUUGUGGAUUAAAUAUAACGUUUUUCCUUUUUCAUUAAUUACUAAAGAAACACAACUGACCAUCCGACAUUAUAUUCUUUUUUCUUUCUCUUCAGUGGUAAAAGGAAAAAAAUAGAAGUUGUGAUAGAGAAAGCGAUAGGAAGUGAGACACAGAAUUUGCAUUGGUUUAUAUUUAGUAUCAUGGUUCCACAAGGAUGCAUGUACAAUAAAGAAGCUCUCUCUCAUUAAAGAAAAAAUGAAAGACAUUGAGAAAGUUCAAAAAUGAAAUAAAAGGAAAGGGAACAGAGUGCCUCUACAUCGGAGCUGGGCUAAUUAAUUGAAUUUUUCAAAUAUUCAUAAAAAUAACAACAACAAUUAUAUUAAAAAAUAAAAAUCAACACUUUGAAAAUAUAAAAACUCUACAAAAAAUGAACUGUUUGAGUAAAAAAAAUAUAAAAACUCAGCACGAGCAAAUGCAAUUUUUAAUACUCUUUUCCUCUCAUAUAUAACAUUUGAUUUUGACUUCACACAAAAUAUAAAAAAGUUUUAGUAAAAUUUUUACUUUAAUUUAUUAUAAAUUUUCUGUCCCAGACUACCUUUAGCUUGAAAAAAGAGAAGAAAUUAGGUAGUUAUAGUUAAGGGGUAGUAAGGAAAAGUAAAUGCGAGUUUUCUUUAACUUUGCAGAGCAGACAUUAAUUUGUAACAGUUAAAGGCAUAUAAACUAAUAUAUUUACAAGUCGGAGAGAGCAUUAGAUAAAAAAAAUGAUUAAUUUGUUAAUAUGAUCUUAAAAGAAAUAAUUACUCUUUUCAUUUCAAAUUAAAUGUUUAUUUUAUUAUUUUAAGAUGUUUUAAAAUAAUAUUUUCUUUUCAAAAUUUUAAAAAACAAAACCGUUUUUUUCAUUUUUUUAUUGAAACUCUAACUUGAAAUCCUCUAACUUUUAUGUCAUCACAAGAGUAAAAUUUGUUUAAAGAAAGAAGAAAAAUACAUCAUUUUAUCUCUAAAAUAGAGUGCCAUUUGAAAAAUAGACAUAUAAUUAAAAAUAGAAGAAGCAGUAUAAAUGUCAUAAUAAAUUUUUAUAUUCUGUAGUCUAUCCUUACUAACUGGAAAUCCUGACCCAGAAUUGAAAAAACACGUUGAUUGCCUACCUUUCGUUGACUGGGGUGAUUGCGGGGGCGGAACAGCAGGUGCAGCAUCAAAAAACUUGGCUGACUCAAACCUUAAGUUACAGCUGGGUCUAAGAACCCGGCAUCCCAUCUGCCCAAAGCAGCAACUCCUAAUCCCUUCCGUUACCGCUUCUAGACAAUCAUUGCAGUCUUGCUCCGAUAAAUCAGGAGUGCACUGCACAAGAGCGUACCAAAUUUGGGCACCCAGAGAUGAGUUACCUGUUGCAUACUUGAGAAGAGCACCCCUUGCUGCUGCUACCCUACGCAGGUAAUCCAACAACACCUGCAGUACACGAAGUAUCUCCUCCGGAUUACCUGCCACUGCAGACCUUGUGUUCAAUAGACAAGCGCCAGGAGAAAUUUCCAAUCUUUUAGAGAUGUUUCUGCUUGAGUAGCGUAACAUACAAAACUCAGACCAUCCAAUGGCCUCUUUGUAGCGAUGACAACGCUGCUUCAUCUCAGAAACAGUGCCAUUGAGACAACUAGUGCAAUCAUUUAGCUUAACAUCUCCCCUACAAAGUGCAAUGGCGUUGACUUCGCCAAAUUUACUGUGAAAAAACCCAUAAUUCAAUUUUGUAGUAGAGGAGAUUUCGUUGAAGAGGCUAUUCAGGUUGCGUUCGUAGGCACUAUUAGCUGUGUAAUUCCCUGUAUCCUCUACGCAUCUAGACUGGAAGAAAGGAUCAACGGCGAAGGUAAGAGUAACAAGGUAUGUGAGCACUGGAAAGGAGAAGAUCAGAAACAGUAUUCGUUUAAAUACCGUUAUCAUUGUCUCUGCUGACCUGCGGUACAAAAAGAAAUCGAUCAGUAGUACUAUCAUAUUGGAAUUCACCUUCUAAACAGUAAAUUGUUGAAUAAUUUUUUAAGGAUGAUCAGUUAAACGGAAUACUACUAUAAUUUGGGAGAAUUUAGAAAAUAACAAACCUUUUGUUGUGAAAGCAAGAGUGAGGGCAUGCACCAAAAACAAAUUACAGAGAAAAAUUCAGGGAUCUUGAGGUUUAACCCAAUAUAUGCUAUCAUCCUUCAUCAGAUUUAGCAUAAAAUUUUUCAGAUAUGUUGAAAAAAUCAAGCAAUGAACAGUGAAUUAUGUUCGCUAAAGGUGGCUAUAUUUCGUUGACCAGUCCUACCUUUGACUGACAAACUAAAGAAAGACAAAGUAGUCUAUCUUUCCAGGAAACCACACUAGCCAGUUACUCGUAUCUUUGUUAAUAUUAUGUCUAGCAUUUCGAGAAAACAUAUUUGAAUUCCUUUUUUUUUCUCUUUUUGUUAAUUGAUUAAUUUUGGUAAGCAACAUUCUCCGCUUUCUAUUACGAUAAAUGAAAAAUCAAAAUGAAUAAAUAAUUAAAACGUAAUAUCAAAUAUAAUAGUAUAAUUUAUUUAUAUGAAAAUGGACUCAUGCUUUUUAUCAUUUAAAAAUUAUAUAUUUUUAUUUAUAACUCUUCGACAAUAUUAUUUUCCUUAUAUUCAAUGUGCGUAUUUUUUUUUAAUUUUAAAAACAAAAAAAGAUAACAAAAGUAACAAAUAGACAUGUCAAAAUGGACCUAGCUCAUUGAGUUGGCUCAUUUUUUGUUGAAUAUGAGGUGGGUUAGGUUUGAAAAUUUAAACUCAUAUUAAAAUCAGGUCUACAUGGGCCAGCCCAUCAUAUCAGUGGGCUGGAGUGGGUUAGGCAGGCCAGCCCUAUGGGUCAGAAAAAUAUAAUUUUAAUUAAUUUAAUAAUUUUAUCUAUUUAACUACAUAAAAUUAAUAAUUUAGUUACUAAUUGUAUUACUUAUUUUAUAUAUCUCAAUAUCUUCAAUCUUUACUUGGCAAAUUAAUAAUUUUACUUUAGAUUAAAAUUUAUUAUCUCUUUUUUUUUUAUGACAAUGAAUAUUAGAUGAUAAAUUGAUAAUGAUUCAGAUCUUGAGACAUCAUUACUAUUUAAAUAAGAUUUAAAUAUUUUGCUUGAGGAUGAGGAUUGGGGAGGAUAUAAAUGAGUCUUGAAGUUUCUAUUAUUUGGUUAUAUACUUAUAUUUAUGAGAUGGUAGUUUGUGUUAAAGAUUUAAAUUUUAUUUAUAUAAUUUAUUUGUUUAUUUAUAUUUGGUGUAAUUUAUUUGUUUAUAACAUGUUUUUAUUAUUCAAUUUAUGGAUUAAAUCAUAGAAUAAUUUUAUUGAUAGAAAAUUUGUUAGGUAAAAUUAUAAAAAUAAUUUUUUUAAAAAGAAAAUAGGCUUGCUCAACCCAACCUAUGGACUAGUAAGAGGUGGGCUGAACUGAGGUUUUGAUGACUCAUGUAAAAAAUGAGCUAGCCCGACCCAACUAAUAGUUGAACAUUCUACCCAACCAUGUAAUCGUAAAAAUGAGAAAGUGCUGGGAAUUUCUAACAUGAAAUUUCCUUGAAUUGCAUGGGCGUGAUGCCAAUAGUUGAACAUUCUACCCAAUUUUUUUUUUCCAAGCCAAUCAAAGAUUUCAUUAGAAUUAAUUAAUACGUACCAAAAAAAAAAAGCCUAAAGACCAUAGGUACAACAACUGCAAGCGACAGAUGAAAAGCACUCUCUGUUGCAAAGAACAUAAACAAAAGAAUAUGAAAUGUAAACAAAAAUAAAUAAAAAAUAAAACACAUAAAUUACUUCAUCUUCAAAAUUAAUGACUACGGUCAUAAAUUUUUUUAUCAAGAAUUUUACUAACGAAUAAUCUAAAAUUAAUUAUUGUUAUGACUAUAUAUUUAUAAUAAUAAUUAUUAUAUAUUAAUGCACGUGACAAUAUUUUUAAAAAAUAGUACCUUAAUAAACGCACUUAAUUUGAACCAAAAGAUAUAGAUAAGAUCAAACCUUAUGAAGAUAUAGUAUAUUCUUGAAUGUGCUACCCACAUAAAUUAGAAGGAAGUUGACGAAAAUGCUCCUCCUUGUUUUUAGAUGUUAGAGAACAGUCAUAUUUUGUCUUCUAAAGUGAAGCACGAAGAAGUGAUACCUCGCUUGCCCAAAGACUUUUAUCUUCCUUGUGGGCUCAUGGAUCAUGACAUGAUGUUUUUUUUUUUUUUUUGUAUUUCUCUUCUUUUCCAUUGUUGAUUAUGAAAUUUAAUUGGAACAAGCUUUUCUGAUUACAUUUUGAACUUAGAUUGCUCUGUGUGCUUUCUGUUUGAAAGUCAGUGCUCCUUACAGGCUAUGUUAAUUUAAUCUCAUUGGAGUCUUAGGCAUGUAAGUAUAUGCUUAAUACAAUUUACCUAGCUAGUGCCUCUUGGGCAAGAAGUGAAGGCGGGAGAAAGCCCAUGAUCCAGGUCCAUUCUUAUUUCUUUAGUUGGCAUCUCGCCUUAUGCAAAUUUGUUGUGCUGAUGAAAUUGUUGCAAAAUUCAUGACAUUGGAUUCAGAAUUUUCUUUUUUGUUGGAAAGCUCACUAUCUCAGAGAGCAUAAUAAGCUUCUUGGUCUCAACAAGCUGUUUGGAUCCUCAUCUAUGAAGAUAAAGAAUAGAUAAGAUGUAAUAUCAUGUUCCAUUGUUUUGUUGAAAUAGUGUAGUAAUUUUAUGGAUACAUCCACUAAUCAAUCAUCGAGGUGACAAUUUUGAAAUUGUAACGUCAUUAACAGAACAGAUUAUAUCAUUUGAAGUGGGUUGAGUUGGUUCUGCAAUAACUCUACCAACAAAAAAUGCAGGUACUGUUGGUCGAGGAAGUCUUAUGGUCUCGCUUUCCAAAAUGACAAUCACAGAUGUCAUGCUAGGUCUGACUGCUGGGUCUUCUUGCACGCAUAAUAGCCCAAUAUGGAUGCAUUUAAGCACCUCAGCGGCCACACAUGACUGCGCCAGGUGCCGAUCCAAAAGCUCCAUUCCUUGACCUUUAGACCAUAGUUUCCAUGC